rnacentral:rRNA from 1 species
UACGUAGGGGGCUAGCGUUGUCCGGAAUCAUUGGGCGUAAAGCGCGUGUAGGCGGUCCGGUAAGUCCGCUGUGAAAGUCGGGGGCUCAACCCUCGAAUGCCGGUGGAUACUGUCGGGCUAGAGUGCGGAAGAGGCGAGUGGAAUUCCUGGUGUAGCGGUGAAAUGCGCAGAUAUCAGGAGGAACAUCGAUGGCGAAGGCAAUCACCUGGGCCUGAACUGACACUGUGACACGAAAGCGUGGGUAGCGAACAGG